GAUAUAGCUCAGCGGUAGAGCAUUUAUCUAGCAUGUACAGAGUCCUGGGUUCAAUUCCCAGCACUGUCA
rnacentral:tRNA from 1 species